CAGAACGGGGAGGACAUGGCAGGGGUCCUCAGCCAGUGGUGUUCCCUAAAAGGGGCAGGGGUCCUGGCUGGACUUGGAAGUAGGAGUGGGACUUCCAUCAGUAGCCACGUGGGGGCUUGUGUUGCAAGACGGCAGCAAAGCCUUCCUCCCUCAGUGUCCCCCUUGCCCACCCUGGUCUUACUCCCCCAUGGAGCGUGGGGCGUGGGGCACAGAGCCUCUCACCCCAGAGGCCCCAGGCAGAAGGACGCCGUGUCCUUCAGGCACACCCGAAGCACACACCCCUGCAGGUGCUUGGCUGUGUCUAGCCGCUCCCCUCCGAGCACAGGAAUGAGAGAGAGCAAAAGGCUGUUUCAGUCAUGAUGUUUUCUAAAAAUAAGGAAUUGAUCUUGCCAUCUGUUCAAAAAACAAGGCAGAACUUGUCCCGGAAAGACAGUGAGUAAUGUCCACCGUUAGGCCACCGAGGCUCACAAGCACAAGACUCCGGAAGCCCUUCGAAAAUCUUACAGCCAUCUCAAGACAGGCGAGGAGCUGAGGCCCAAACCAUUCCAGCCACACAGAGCUCUACCAAGCUUUAUUAGGGUCUGGCUCUGUAUUUUCAUUUCAGAAAGAAAUGGCCCUGUUUUAUCAGAUGUCUAAGAAACCACGAGGCUGGCCCACCAUGCUAAUGCCCCCAAGGUCCCCGGCCCUCUUUGUGAUUGUCCUGGAGCCCUCUGGGUCAGCUCCUGAUGUGCAGCUGACAUGAGCAAACCCCCUCCCCAGCCCAGCCACUGUGUAUGGGAAGAGGUGUUUGGGUACAGGGUGGAGCCACACUCACUUGGAGCAUAAGCUACAGAGGCAAACAACCCUGCCUGAAGGGCUUCUGGGAGGAGGUGACCUUUGGGCAAGACUUCAAAGGAUUAACAGGGAUCUGUCAGGCAAAAAAACAGGAGAUGCCAAUUCAAAGCAGGGAAGAUAUUGUAAGGGCUUGAGGUAAUACAAAGGCACCAUUGUUCAGGGCUCACUGAGCACCAGGGGACCACAGUGUGAGAGGGCAGAGGAGGAGGAAGAUGCAUGGGGAGAGCACGACAAAGGCCCUGGCAGUGUUUCUCCUCCCACCCCCGUUGGCUCCUUUUUCUUCCCAAAUCAAGCCUCUGUGAGGCUCUGAGCUUCCCCUGCUCUGAACGGGCCGUGGCACCUGUGUCAGCUUGGAUCCCCAAGCCCUGCUUAUCCAGGACCCUGGGCCGCCACCCGGGAGGUGUUCCCUUGACCUCCUGUCCACGCAGUUCUCACUCGCUCUGACCAGCUCAUAGCUUCUCCUCGGGUUUCAUUGCUUGUGUGCUCGGCUGCAUCACCACCCAACAGGCACACAUCCCAUCAUGCCAUGUCAUCAGUGCUGCCACCAUGUCACCCUGUUAGCCCAUCUCCCAUAGUAGAUGGCACUUCUUGAGAGCUGGAGCCCUGGCACGCCAGCACCUCUGCACACCAGCCUAGAACUCAAGUGCGAACUCAAGGCAGGCUCUGUAAAGACACCCUGAUGGAUUCUGCUUCUGCACCAGCUUGACCUCAGACCACCCCAGUAAUAAAAAGUGCUCCUUACAUAUGAAAUCAGGUCUCCUUAGUCUUGGGAUUUCACUGUCCACCAGGAAAAAAACAAAAAACAGAAAACAUCAUAUUUGCUUGGUUCACUGGUGAAAAUAC